rnacentral:rRNA from 1 species
UACAGAGGGUGCAAGCGUUGUUCGGAAUUAUUGGGCGUAAAGGGCGCGUAGGCGGUGCGGUAAGUCACCUGUGAAAUCUCCUGGCUUAACUGGGAGCUGCAGGCGAAACUACCGUGCUGGAGUGUGGGAGAGGUGCGUGGAAUUCCCGGUGUAGCGGUGAAAUGCGCAGAUAUCAGGAGGAACACCGAUGGCGAAGGCAGCUCGCUGGGACGGUACUGACGCUGAGGCGCGAAAGUGUGGGGAGCAAACAGG